GAGAUUCGGCUGCACUGGCUUCACCUAAAUGACAUGUUCCUCUGCACAGGUUUUUAAUAUCCUGAGAACCCCAGGAAAAUGACCCGGUGUCCCUGCAGGCCCCCUACCCUUGCCAGAGGCAGAAGAAAGAGGGGUUCUAAGAAAGGGAAGAAGGGGCGCAAAUGUAGAUGCUCCAAGUCUGGGAGAGGAUCUGAAGCUCACACUGUGUAUUACUACAGGAAGAUGAAAUGACCAGCACAAGCUUCUUUUCCCAGUGUGCAGCAGCUUUGGCAAUGUCAUCCAGUACCAGCAAGUUAAUUUGCCACAUGAGUGAACCACCCACUGCAGAAGAGAAACCACAUGGACUGACAUUGCAAGAUGCCAAAGCCCUUCAAUGAGGAGCAGUCUUGUCAUUAAAUGUGAAGCCGCAGUUUCUUUCCUGUCUGGUCUGUUUCCUUCCUCA